AAUCUGGAGAGAGGCGCGUGAGCGAGCGCGCCCACCGAAGGAGAAACCUCACGGGCCGCCCGCCCAUGGGGGAAGCUCUCAGGUAGCCGCGACAGAUGGGG
rnacentral:ncRNA from 1 species